rnacentral:rRNA from 5 species
GUACGUACAAGCAGUGGGAGCACAGGUUUACCUGUGUGACUGCGUACCUUUUGUAUAAUGGGUCAGCGACUUAUAUUCUGUAGCAAGGUUAACCGAAUAGGGGAGCCGGAGGGAAACCGAGUCUUAACCGGGCGUUAAGUUGCAGGGUAUAGACCCGAAACCCGGUGAUCUAGCCAUGGGCAGGUUGAAGGUUGGGUAACACUAACUGGAGGACCGAACCGACUAAUGUUGAAAAAUUAGCGGAUGACCUGUGGCU